rnacentral:rRNA from 1 species
UUCUUAAAAUUUAAAAGAUUUGGCGGUAAUUUAGUCUUGUCAGGGGAACCCGUUUUUUAAUCGAUACUACACGAAGAAUCUUACUUAAUUUUAUAGUUUGUAUACCUUCAUUAUCAGAUAAUUUUUAGAAAAUAAAAUUAUUAUUUAAGUUUAAUUCAGUAAAAUUAGAUCAAGGUGCAGCCAAUAAUUAAGUUAAAAUAGGUUACAAUAAAAUUUAUUUAUAACGAAAAAUUUUAUGAAAAUUAAAUUAGAAGGAGGAUUUGAUUGUAUUUUAGUUUUAAUAAGACUGAUAGAUAUAAGCUCUAAAUUAUGUACACAUCGCCCGUCGCUCUUA